GGGGCAGCGGUGGUGAAGGCUUGCCUUUACCAGCCGGCGACCGGCGCACGGGUGAGUAACACGUAUGCAACCUGCCUGCCACAGCCGGAUAAUCGGGAGAAAUCCCGUCUAAUACGGCAUAAUGCACCUAUGGGACAUCCUGUUGGUGCCAAAGGUUAAUUCCGGUGGCGGAUGGGCAUGCGUCGCAUUAGUUAGUUGGCGAUGUAACGGACCACCAAGACGACGAUGCGUAGGGGUUCUGAGAGGAAGGUCCCCCACACUGGUACUGAGACACGGACCAGACUCCUACGGGAGGCAGCAGUGAGGAAUAUUGGUCAAUGGGCGGGAGCCUGAACCAGCCAAGUCGCGUGAGGGAUGACGGCCCUAUGGGUUGUAAACCUCUUUUGCCGGGGAGCAAAGUGCCGCACGUGUGCGGUUUGGAGAGUACCCGGAGAAAAAGCAUCGGCUAACUCCGUGCCAGCAGCCGCGGUAAUACGGAGGAUGCGAGCGUUAUCCGGAUUUAUUGGGUUUAAAGGGUGCGUAGGCGGACGCUUAAGUCAGCGGUAAAAUUGCGGGGCUCAACCUCGUCGAGCCGUUGAAACUGGGUGUCUUGAGUGGGCGAGAAGUACGCGGAAUGCGUGGUGUAGCGGUGAAAUGCAUAGAUAUCACGCAGAACUCCGAUUGCGAAGGCAGCGUACCGGCGCCCAACUGACGCUGAAGCACGAAGGCGUGGGUAUCGAACAGGAUUAGAUACCCUGGUAGUCCACGCAGUAAACGAUGAAUGCUAGUUGUCCGGGGCGAUU
rnacentral:rRNA from 1 species